rnacentral:Y_RNA from 1 species
GGCUGGUCCAAGUGCAGUGGUGUUUACAGCUAAUUGAUCACAACCAGUUACAGAUUUCUUUGUUCCUUCUCCACUCCCACUGCUUCACUUGACUGGCCUAUA